UAGAUUUUUCUCAGCGGCAAAAAAUAAAAAAAAAUAAAAGAUUUUGUUAUAAUGCACAACUAAAUCUGAAAAGUAAUUGGAGAAGAUCUCAUUCUCUUAUGUCCUUGACAGUCAAGGACACGCUGUUUUUUCAGCAUAUCUCAUUCCGGUAUACCUUAGAGAAAGAAAUUUUCCUGCAGAAACUCUUUUUAAAUUACCUAUCGUUUAUUUCUACACAUAACUUCACACGUUACAAACUUAAUGGAGUUUCAUUUCCGUCUCAACAGAAACCAACGUCUCUUCGGGAUUUUAUGAGCGAAAGUAAAAUAAACAUCAGUUGUAUAAGUCGAAUGGCUAAAGAAAAAAAUAAGAAACCGAAGUGAAUAUUCAAAUUUUCAUACUGAAGAAAUAAUUCUUAAUUAUG
rnacentral:lncRNA from 1 species